rnacentral:rRNA from 1 species
CCAUAUGCUUGUCUCAAAGAUUAAGCCAUGCAGGUCUGAGUACGGCCUCUAGCGAAAAGGCGAAACCGCGAAUGGCUCAUUAAAUCAGUUAUGGUUCCUUAGAGCUUACGUUGUCUUACUUGGAUAACCGUGGUAAUUCUAGAGCUAAUACAUGCACCGAAGCUCCGACCCCCUCGGGGGAACGAGCGCUUUUAUUAGACCGCAACGACCGUAUCCGCUGUGCGUUUACUCCCYCAAGGGAUWCUCGCGCGGACGUGUUUGCGUGGUGACUCUGGAUAACUUAGCCGAUCGGCCGUCGCACCUCUUAAACGGGGGUUCAAACGACGGCCGACGCACCUUUCAAGUGUCUGCCUUAUCAACUGUCGACGGUAGGUCAAGUGCCUACCGUGGUAGUAACGGGUGACGGGGAAUCAGGGUUCGAUUCCGGAGAGGAAGCCUGAGAAACGGCUACCACAUCCAAGGAAGGCAGCAGGCUCGCAAAUUACCCACUCCCGGCACGGGGAGGUAGUGACGAAAAAUAACGAUGCGGGACUCGGUCGAGACCCCGCCAUCGGAAUGAGUACACUCUAAAUCCUUUAACGAGGACCCACCGGAGGGCAAGUCUGGUGCCAGCAGCUGCGGUAAUUCCAGCUCCGGUAGCAUAUGCUAAAGUUGCUGCGGUUAAAAAGCUCGUAGUUGGAUCUCAGUCUCGGCCGCCCGGUCUCGCCCGUGUUGGCGGGUCUCGCGGCGGCCGGUCAGAAUGUCGGCCGCCCGGGAUGAUCUUGACCGGUUGUCUCGGAACGGCCGGCGCGUUUACUUUGAAAAAAUCAAAGUGCUCAGAGCGGGCGUUAUCCGCCCGGACGUUCGUGCAUGGAAUAAUGGAAGAUGACCUCGGUUCCAGCGUCUGUUGGUCCGCGAACCCAGAGGUAAUGAUUAAGAGGAACGGCCGGGGGCGAUCGUACCGCGACGCUAGAGGUGAAAUUCUUGGACCGUCGCGUGACGCACUACAGCGAAAGCAUUCGUCAAGAACGCUUCCGUUAAUCAAGAACGAAAGUCAGAGGUUCGAAGGCGAUCAGAUACCGCCCUAGUUCUGACCGUAAACGAUGCCGACCAGCGAUCGGGCUGCGCUCGCCACGACGAGGCGCCCGGAAGCUUUCCGGGAAACCAGAGUUUCUGGGUUCCGGGGGAAGUAUGGUUGCAAAGCUGAAACUUAAAGGAAUUGACGGAAGGGCACCACCAGGAUUGGGGCCUGCGGCUCAAUUUGACUCAACACGGGAAAACUCACCCGGCCCGGACACGGGAAGGAUUGACAGACUGAUUGCUCUUUCUUGAUUCUGUGGGUGGUGGUGCAUGGCCGUUCUUAGUUGGUGGAGCGAUUUGUCUGGUUGAUUCCGAUAACGAACGAGACUCUAGCCUGCUAAAUAGCGAGUUCUAUGAUAGCGGGGCCUCCGGUUURYKCCUGUUCUUUUCCGUCUGCCGGUGGUCGCGGKGCUGCUGUAGAUCGAGGAGACCUCGUCGAACUCCGAUAUCUCUUCUUAGAGGGACAAGCGACGCAUUAAAGUCGCGCGAGGAAGAGCGAUAACAGGUCAGUGAUGCCCUUAGAUGUCCGGGGCCGCACGCGCGCCACACUGACGCCCACAGCGUGCGCGCUCGCCCGGUCCGACAGGAUCGGGGAACCCCUUCAACGGACGUCGUGCUGGGGACAGGGGAUUGGAAUUGUUCCCCUCGAACGAGGAAUUCCCAGUAAGCGCGAGUCACUAGCUCGCGUUGAUUACGUCCCUGCCCUUUGUACACACCGCCCGUCGCUACUACUGAUUGAACGGUUCGGUGAGGUCCUCGGACUGGCUUACGCUGGCGGGACCCUUCGCGUCUCCUUCCCUGUCUCCUUCGUGGGCGGGGAAGGGCGUGAAUUCCCGAUGCGGUAGCCGGAAAGUCGAUCGAACCGUAUCGUUUAGAAGAAGUAAAAGUCGUAACAAGGUUUCC